GGUCGAUUAGCUCAGUUGGUUAGAGCGUGGUGCUAAUAUCUUCUGAUAUGACAACGCCAAGGUCGCGGGUUCGACCCCCGUAUUGACCA